rnacentral:lncRNA from 10 species
GGUCUUCAAUUCUGAAGGGAUGGUCUCUAUGUCCCAUGAUAAAUCCUUAGGCCACUUCCAGGUUUUGUAUUUAAAAAAAAAGAAUAUGACCAUUUUCACCACAACCUGUGCUUCUCCAGUUCUGUGAAAAACCUGGACUAAACUAGGAAAACUUCUGAAAAAGAAACGUGUUAACCAACACUAAUAAGAAGAGCAUCUGUUUUUUAAAGUGAAAUAGUCCUCUAAAUGUUAAAAAAGACGACAUACCACACACACACACAAAAAAAGGGUGGGGGAGGUGUGGUUGUUAUUGUUCAUCCUGAAAACUCUGUAACUCCAUUUCGGAGUUCAUGUUAAAUACAACUUUCUAUGUAUAUGCAGCAUAUAAAAAUGUAGGUAUUAUUUAAAUAGACUAAGUGUUCUGGGAAAACAAAAACUCACAUCAGGGUUUUGUUUUGUUUUUUCUUGAAAUAACCAACUGAUGGAUUAUGAAAACGGCUGUCUCUUUCAAUUUUGGUUAAAGAAAAGGAUUAAGAGUCACUAAGUGCAUUUCCAUGACAUUUACCCAGCAGAAGGCAGAAUAAAGUCUAAAGAAAACACCAGAGACCUCUUCCUUUACCUGUUGCAUAAACGUUUCCAAAGAUUUUGACUUAACUUCUCGCGUGGCAGGUGUUCCUCUUGGCUCAUAUGUCUUCCACUACAACCUAUAAGGGAAAAGACUCCUAAGCAGCUAUACCUCAGUCUCUCUCCUAAGCGCCAGAGAGGGAGACAGGACAUUUCCAACUGGUGGUCUGAAAGCAUCUUCAAUAUGAGCAAAACUUGCUCAGCAUUUGCCACCUAAACAUGUUCCUCUUCCGGUUUUUCUGGAAAAACAGUAAUUCCAUCUACUCAGGUACCAAAUCGUCAAUGUCUCCAGUUGGAGAGAUUUCUUGGACUCUUCCCUCUGUGUGACUCCCUGCCUGCCCCACUCUGAUAAUUACAUCUGCCAGUUCUGCCUUCUAAAAUCUAUCCAGCAAUCCUCCCAGUUUAUCCCCACAGUGGUGGUCUACCUUGCUUUAGGUCCUUUCCACCUUUUACCAGGACCAGUUUCUAAUGAUUCUGUUUCUCCGUCUUGCCUCCUAUGCACACCAAUUUAUUGUCCAUGCUGUAGAGAAAGAAAACUUUUUGAAAGAUAAUCUGAUCAUGCCACUUGUUGGCCCCAUAGUACCCUGAGACACUCUCUUCACACCACGCUGUGAUUGAAGGUUUUCCUCUCUGUCCGACUCAGCAGUGCCGACUCAGCAGUGCCGUACUGUGGAUGACUUUGAGCCUUCUUACCACUGUAUCCCCAGGGCCUAACACAUUAGUGCUGUGUGCUAAUAAAGACUUGUUGAUCAAAGGAGUGAAACUACUUUAAUUUAAAUACUUUGUUCUUUUAAAAAUAGAACAUAGGAGGGUCAACAUAAGAGUAAUCUAUUUUGUGAGACAAAGAGAGUACACUGUUUACAUUCUAUCUAUUCUAUAAUGUUUUCUUGUCUAAUGAAUUAGAAUACAUACUUUUGAAAAUAAAAAUAUAUUUGUGAGGUAUCAUUUAAUACUAGUGCCACUUACAGUUCUAGUCUGCAAACAAAUAUUUUGUUUUAAACCUCUG